rnacentral:rRNA from 1 species
GACGAACGCUGGCGGCGUGCUUAACACAUGCAAGUCGAACGGAAAGGCCCUGCUUGCAGGGUACUCGAGUGGCGAACGGGUGAGUAACACGUGGGUGAUCUGCCCUGCACUUCGGGUUAAGCCUGGGAAACUGGGUCUAAUACCGGAUAGGAGCCAUUUUUAGUGUGAUGGUUGGAAAGUUUUUUCGGUGUAGGAUGAGCUCGCGGCCUAUCAGCUUGUUGGUGGGGUAAUGGCCUACCAAGGCGGCGACGGGUAGCCGGCCUGAGAGGGUGGACGGCCACACUGAGACUGAGGUAAGGCCCAGACUCCUACGGGAGGGAGCAGUGGGGAAGAUUGAACGAUGGGCGCAGGCCUGAUGCAGCGAGGCCGCGUGGGGGAUGACGGCCUUCGGGUUGUAAACUCCUUUCGCUAGGGACGAAGCUUUUUGUGACGGUACCUAGAUAAGAAGCACCGGCUAACUACGUG